rnacentral:lncRNA from 1 species
AGUAGUACAAGGUAGUGACCUUGGUCGUUUCGCAAGGACUCACGAUCGGUUUAACAAUAUUAGAAUGAAUUUAAAGGUUGCAAUUUGGGGUUUUUUUUGUUUGUGGAAGCAAUAACAGAGAUUACGAAUUUAAUUAAUAUAAAAGCAAUCAAUCCAUUAGUUUUAGGCAACUUUGUUUGUCAUCUAUCAUAGGUUCUUAUAUGAAUAUUCAUACAGUUUAUGCUUCGGC